rnacentral:rRNA from 1 species
UAUGACUCUCGACAAUGGAUAUCUUGGCUCUCGCAUCGAUGAAGAGCGCAGUGAAAUGCGAUAUGUGGUGUGAAUUGCAGAAUCCCGUGAACCAUCGAGUAUUUGAAUGCAAGUCGCGCCUGAGGCCAACUGGCUAAGGGCAUGUCCGCCUCGGUGUCAAGC